GAUGAAGAACGCAGUGAAAUGCGAUAAGUAAUGUGAAUUGCAGAAUUCAGUGAAUCAUCGAAUCUUUGAACGCACAUUGCGCCCCCCAGUAUUCUGGCGGGCAUGCCUGUUCGAGCGUCAUUUCAACCAUCAAGCCCUGCUUGUGUUGGGGUCCUGCGGCUGCCCGCAGGCCCUGAAAACCAGUGGCGGGCUCGCUAGUCACACCGAGCGCAGUAGCACAUCUCGCUCAGGGCGUGCGGCGGGGUCCAGCCGUUAAAGCACCCACCUUUCGCAAGGUUGACCUCGGAUCAGGUAGGAAUACCCGCUGAACUUAAGCAUAUCAAUAAGCGGAGGA
rnacentral:misc_RNA from 1 species